rfam:Schistosoma haematobium scaffold1159_18, whole genome shotgun sequence.
AUUCAGCUGAGGAGUCCCAAAUAGAACAAAACGUGAGUCCUGGAU